GCCUACGGGGGGCAGCAGUGGGGAAUAUUGGGCAAUGGGCGCAAGCCUGACCCAGCAACGCCGCGUGAAGGAAGAAGGCUUUCGGGUUGUAAACUUCUUUCAAGAAGGAAGAGCAGAAGACGGUACCUCUUGAAUAAGCCACGGCUAACUACGUGCCAGCAGCCGCGGUAAUACGUAGGUGGCAAGCGUUGUCCGGAUUUACUGGGUGUAAAGGGCGUGCAGCCGGGCUGACAAGUCAGAUGUGAAAUCCCGCGGCUCAACCGCGGAACUGCAUUUGAAACUGUUAGUCUUGAGUACCGGAGAGG
rnacentral:rRNA from 1 species